UCAGGAUGAACGCUGGCGGCGUGCCUAACACAUGCAAGUCGAGCGAUUACUUCGGUAAAGAGCGGCGGACGGGUGAGUAACGCGUGGGUAACCUGCCUCAUACACAUGGAUAACAUACCGAAAGGUAUGCUAAUACAGGAUAAUAUAAGAGAUUCACAUGGAUUUUUUAUCAAAGCUCCGGCGGUAUGAGAUGGACCCGCGUCUGAUUAGCUAGUUGGUAAGGUAAUGGCUUACCAAGGCGACGAUCAGUAGCCGACCUGAGAGGGUGAUCGGCCACAUUGGAACUGAGACACGGUCCAAACUCCUACGGGAGGCAGCAGUGGGGAAUAUUGCACAAUGGGCGAAAGCCUGAUGCAGCAACGCCGCGUGAGUGAUGAAGGCCUUCGGGUCGUAAAACUCUGUCCUCAAGGAAGAUAAUGACGGUACUUGAGGAGGAAGCCCCGGCUAACUACGUGCCAGCCGCCGC
rnacentral:rRNA from 1 species